rnacentral:rRNA from 1 species
UGAUACGUAGGGGGCGAGCGUUAUCCGGAUUCAUUGGGCGUAAAGAGCUCGUAGGCGGGGCCCCAAGUCGAGUGUGAAAGCUCCCGGCUCAACUGGGAGAGGUCAUUCGAUACUGGGGUUCUUGAGGGCAGGAGAGGGAGGUGGAAUUCCCGGUGGAGCGGUGGAAUGCGUAGAGAUCGGGAGGAACACCAGUGGCGAAGGCGGCCUCCUGGCCUGCUUCUGACGCUGAGGAGCGAAAGCUAGGGUAGCAAACGGGCUUAGAUACCCCGGUAGUCCUAGCCGUAAACGAUGGAUACUAGGUGUUGGGGGUAUUGACCCCCUCAGUGCCGCAGCUAACGCGUUAAGUAUCCCGCCUGGGGACUACGGUCGCAAGGCUA